GCACAGUGGCAAAGAAGUGAGAGCAGGCCUGUGUGGGGCUCUCUGGCUCUCUCUGCUUGCAGCACAAGAAAAAAAUCAAAUCAAAGAUCAGGGUACAGAAGUGCAGAGUGAUGGAAGAAGAGGUGGAAGUUGAUCUGAACUUGGCUCAGUUACAUCACUGUGGCAUUUCAGGUAUGCACUGUAAUAAAGUGACCAUAUAUUUGCAAUCAGACUUAGGACAGAUUUCCUUCUCAAAGACAAAAUUAUCUAGAAAGUGGAUCCAUGGGUAAAAAGUAACACUCAUGAGGCAGAUUAUGAACAGAAUUAAGCCAGUGGAAGUAAGUAUAACUUCACCAAAUUCAACGCAUUGGGAAGGACUUUUACUUUAAAGUCCCAAAGUAGAACUACUGGUCAGCAGAUGGAAGAAAUAAAACCCCAAAUCCAAAGUCCCUUUUUUCAGACCACCUUCUACAAACACCAUUGACUCUUGUUACAACAAAACCAACACAAAUAUCACUUUGCUAAUACCUACUGAGCCAGACUUAAACAUGUCACUGAUAUUUACUUAACAAACAUUGUUACGUACGUACUCUGCUGUGGUUCAAAGAACACUCAUUUAUUUAAAACAGCUUAUUUUAAAACAAGGCUUUGGGUUGUUUGCUUUUUUUGUCAUUGUUGGGGUUUCGGUGUGGUUUUUGGUUGGUUGGUGUUUGGGGGUUUAUUUUGUUCCUGGCACGAUGGAGCAGCUAAAACUUUGUGCUUUCUGACCUUGCCUUGUCAGAGAUCUGUCAUAACAGGGGACAGCAUGUUGGCACUGAGUCUGCCAGCGUGGAUUUUGAGGGACUGGGAGAGGCUGCUCGCUUUUAGGGCUUGGUUGUCAGGUGAGGAGUACUUCACUCUGCUCUCACAAUGUCCUGAAAACUGUCUGUAUUCGAGCAGUUGGAGCCUUUCUCCCUCAUGAACCCCAGGAGCCAUGGCUGAUGUCAAGCACGUCGCUCCCAGCCCAGUCCCAGAGGGGUGGCUGGGCGUCUUGCCUGUUCCUGAGCACUCACAUUCCCGCUGUACCCUCACAGUCUGCCUCACUUACGGCUGAAGACAAAGCCAUACCUCCUCCCCUGAGCUGGGGAGCUGCAAGAUCACCGGGUUGACAUCAUUCUCCUUGGUGAUAAAACAUGCUGCAUGCUGAACUUGGCACUCAGCAUGCUCAGGUUGAGCUAAGAGCUAAUGUAAUGAACUCUGGGGAAGGACUUAACAUCAAAUACCACUCUGGAAUAUUAAAUACAGACAGGACCAAUUUCUCACUUGAAUAAUUACA